AGCAAAGAAAUGUUCACGAUGUAAUCAUCGUACUAAAGGAAGGCAACAAAUAAUUGAAUCUAAGCAUGGUAAUGCCAGUACUAUACUUUCCCAACCAAAUUUAUGAGACCAGCUUUCAAGGGGAGUAUAAGUACGUACCUAAUAGCUAAUACUACGUACCCUCCUAGCUUUAAUCAAAUAGCAAUGGUGAGGACUUCUAUACAUAAGGAUCAGGAUACACAUAUGCACAUAUGCAAAAAUAAAAUAUGGUGAUGUAAUAUACAAUGAAAUAUGUUAAAGAAUUACAAUAUAGAACUGUUGCUCUAAUAUCUUUAUGUAUAGUGGGUAAUUUUGAGAUAAUAAUAAUCAUGUAAAGACAAUACAGUAACAUCAAAUCUAUGUAAAUGAAAUGCUUUGCUGUGUA